GACGAACGCUGGCGGCGUGCCUAAUACAUGCAAGUCGAACGCAGUGGGGACGGGUGAGUAACACGUGGGUAACCUCCCAUCAGAGGGGAUAACACUUGGAAACAGGUGCUAAACCGAUACUGAUGGAUGGACUCGCGGUGCAUUAGCUUGUGGGUGAGGUAGGGGCUCACCAAGGCCACGAGGCAUAGCUGGCCUGAGAGGGUGUUCGGCAACACUGGAACUGAGACACGGCCCAGACUCCUACGGGAGGCAGCAUUAGGGAAUAUUGGGCAAUGGACGAAAGUCUGACCGAGCAACGCCGCGUGAGUGAAGAAGGUUUUCGGAUCGUAAAACUCUGUUGUUGGGGAAGCGGUAUCUACCCAGAAAGCCACGGCUAACUACGUACCAGCAGCCGCGGUAAUAC
rnacentral:rRNA from 1 species